GUUCUUUGAAGGAAAAACAUCACCAUUUUACUGAAGAAAGACUAUGGAAAAUAUUUAUACAGCUAUGCUUAGCUCUUCGAUACUUACACAAGGAGAAGAGGAUUGUCCAUAGAGAUCUUACACCAAACAACAUUAUGUUGGGGGAUAAGGACAAAGUAACAGUUAGUCUUGCUCCUGCAUUUAUUUGCAGCCUUUGAAACCAUACAAGGAAACAGACUCCGACUCAGUGGUACAUGGGGUGAAACACAGUCAACAUUUGCCCUAAAUACUGUCACCUGCCAAAUAAGGUCCAUAUUGAGCCAUCACAUUACAAAAUGACUCUUAAGGGAAUUUGGUAAAACUGAACUUACCCUUGAACCCACCAUUCCAGAUAUCUUGACCUUUUCAAAAACCCUUAUUUUAGUGUAAACCUUCCAUGUCCCCUUGCCUCCUCUGCUUUCAAAUAAAAA
rnacentral:sRNA from 1 species